rnacentral:rRNA from 1 species
UUGGAGGGCAAGUCUGGUGCCAGCAGCCGCGGUAAUUCCAGCUCCAAUAGCGUAUAUUAAAGUUGCUGCAGUUAAAAAGCUCGUAGUUGAAUUUCGGGACUAUCAUGUCGGUCGUGCCUCGGUACGUACUGGUAUUGUUGGUUUCUCCCUUCUGACGAAUCAUGAUGUCAUUUAUUUGGUGUUGUGGGGAAUCAGGACUGUUACUUUGAAAAAAUUAGAGUGUUUAAAGCAGGCUCACGCUUGAAUACAUUAGCAUGGAAUAAUGAAAUAGGACGUUUGAUUCUAUUUUGUUGGUUUCUAGGAUCGACGUAAUGAUUAAUAGGGAUAGUUGGGGGCAUUAGUAUUCAAUUGUCAGAGGUGAAAUUCUUGGAUUUAUUGAAGACUAACUACUGCGAAAGCAUUUGCCAAGGAUGUUUUCAUUAAUCAAGAACGAAAGUUAGGGGAUCGAAGACGAUCAGAUACCGUCGUAGUCUUAACCAUAAACUAUGCCGACUAGGGAUCGGAUGAUGUUAAUUUUUUAAUGACUCAUUCGGCGCCUUACGGGAAAC